rnacentral:SRP_RNA from 1 species
GCUGGGCAUAGUAAAUAGCCCACAGCUGUAGUCUCAGCUACUUGGGCAGCUGAGGCAGGAGAAUUACUUGAGCCCAGGAGUUCUAGGCUGUAGUACGCUAUGCCAAUCGGGUGUCUACACUAAGUUGAGCAUCAGAAUGGUGGCCUCUCAGGAGCAGGAGAUCACUGUGUGGCCUAAGGGCAACACAGUCAACUGGCCCAAGUUGGAAAUGGAACAGGUCAAAGCUCCCAUGCUGAUCAGUAGUGGGAUUGUACCUGUAAAAAACCACUGCACUCUAGCCUGGAAAAGCAUAGCAAGACCCUGUCUCU